rnacentral:rRNA from 1 species
GACAGAGGGUGCAAACGUUGCUCGGAUUUACUGGGCGUAAAGCGCGUGUAGGCGGAUGGGUAAGUCAGAUGUGAAAUCCCUGGGCUCAACCUAGGAACUGCACCUGAAACUGCCCGUCUGGAGUAGUGGAGAGGAGAGCGGAAUUCCUGGUGUAGAGGUGAAAUUCGUAGAUAUCAGGAGGAACACCGGUGGCGAAGGCGGCUCUCUGGACACUUACUGACGCUGAGACGCGAAAAGCGUGGG